UACGUAGGUCCCGAGCGUUGUCCGGAUUUAUUGGGCGCAAAGCGAGCGCAGGUGGUUUAUUAAGUCUGGUGUAAAAGGCAGUGGCUCAACCAUUGUAUGCAUUGGAAACUGGUAGACUUGAGUGCAGGAGAGGAGAGUGGAGUUCCAUGUGUAGCGGUGAAAUGCGUAGAUAUAUGGAGGAACACCGGUGGCGAAAGCGGCUCUCUGGCCUGUAACUGACACUGAGGCUCGAAAGCGUGGGGAGCAAACAGG
rnacentral:rRNA from 1 species